CUUCGGGCCCCAGGUGCAGGGCGGUCCUGCCCGCGGGCGCUCGCCCUGCGGCGCCCAGCGGAGGCCGUGUUUGCUGCGAAGGCCGUGGCCCCGUCGUGGUGGCUUCGCGACGCGGCUGCAGGCAGCUGCUCCUGCACAGCCGGGGCGCGGCCCCUCUUCCGGUGGCCCGUACAUGUCCGCAGCUCCGCCGCGCUGACCGCCCCCCUGCCCCCGGGAAGCCAGGAGAGAGGAGCCAGCCGGCGACGGGGCCCGCACCCCGGAGCGCCCCGAGGCCCCGACAGGUCUGUGGGUUAGAAGUCCGACCUGGGCUUCAGUGGGCUAAAAUCAAGGUCUCGGCAAGCCGGCCACGCUUCCUGCAGGCUCUGGAGGACCAUCUGUGUCUUUAUCCUCUUCAAGCUCCUAGAGGCGCCCACAUUCCUUGGCUGGUGGCUUCUUCCUCCAGCUUCAAAAUCAGCAACCUUCUUCCAAAGUCACAGCUCCCUCUGCUUCUCCGCUGUCCCCCUCUUCCACUUGUAAGGUCCCUUGUGAUCACGUUGCACCUACUCAGAUAAUCCCGGGGGGUUUCGCUAUCUUAAGGUCAGCCGAUUGGCAACCUUAGUUCCAUCUCCAAUCUUGAUUGCCUUUUGCCAUGUAACACAGUGUAUUUACCAGCUCCCGGGGACAGGACAAGGACGUCGUUAGGGGGCUGUCAUUCUGCCCACUGCAGUCCCUAUGAGCUAUAUUGUGACAGGAAGCCAGAGAGUAACCGUGGUCCUGAGACAGGACAGGGAAGGCCUGCUGCGUGGACGCUCUGCAGGCACGGACAGGAGGAGAAAGCUACGGCCAGUCAGCCGUUACACGCCACAGUGCCAGAGGCUGUGUGGAUCUGCUGCAGUGGAGACGCCACCUCCAGCCUGGCAGCCCUGAUUGCUUCUGCUGCCUGCCUCAUUUCUUUUUAGUGCUAAAUAACAUUCCACUGCCUGGAUGGACCACGGUUUAUUUCUCUGUUCACCUACUGAAGGACAUCUUGGUUGCCUCCAAAUUUUGCCUCCAACUGUGAAUAAAGCUGCUGUAAAUGUCUGCGGACAGGAUUUGAUGUGAACAUAAAAUUUCCACUCCUUUCGGUAAAUACCAAGGAGCACAACUGCCGAAUCUUUAGAGUAUAUUCAGUUUUAUAAGAAACCGCCUGUCUCCCAAGGUGGCUGCGCCGUCCUGUGUCCCCACCAGCAGCGGAGGCAGUUCCUGCUGCUCCGCACCCUCGCCCGCGUCUGGCGUCGUAAGUGUCUGCAGUAGGUGCGGAGUGGCGCCUCGCUGUUGUUUUAAUUUGCAUUUCCCUGAUGACAGAUGACACAGAGCAGCUGUCAUAUGCUUACGUGCCGUCGGUAUAUGUUCUCUGGUGAGGCGUCUGUUCAGGUGCUUGGCCCCAUUUUAAAAUCAGGUUUCUUCCUGUUGGGCUUUAAGAGUUCUUUGUAUAUUUCAAAUAACAGUCCUUUAUCAUUUGUAUCUUUUGCAAAUGUUUUCUCCCAGUCUGUCUUUCGCAGAGCAGAAAUUUUUAAUUUUUUAAAAAUAUUUAUUGGCUGCGUUGGGUCUUCGUUGCUGCACGUGGGCUUUCUCUAGUUGCAGCAAGUGGGGGCUACUCUUCGCUGUGGUGUGCGGGUU